UGCACGAGGGGGUCCUUCGGGGGUACGCCGGGCAGGGCAACAUUCAGUUGGUGGUACAGUAACCGCAAAAGGUUGGGAACCACUGCAGUAAUACAUGAAGGUGUGGUUGACUGUGAGGGACUGUGAUGUCAGAUGUAUCCUAUUUCCUGUCUUUCUAAGUAGAUGUCAGACAGAGACAGACAGCAGUAUACAGGCAGCUGUGGUGAUGGUGAUGUCACUGCUGAAGUGUUUGCUGCUGUUCUUCUUCUCAUUCAAUGAAUUGACCACAGCAGCAGAAGCCAUUCUCUGGGUGAAGACAGGGGAGAAGUUUACCAUGAAGUGCUCCACCACUCUAAAAGACCAGGAUGGAAUGUACCUGUAUGUUGGGCUGGACAGGGAGGUGUUGUAUUACCACCAGCGUGACUCCAAGCUGUCCCCCAGGAAAGGCUACUGGGACAGAGUGACGACUGAGGGACCUGUGGACCAACUGACCAUCACCGUCAGUAACCUGACCAUAGAGGACACAGGAGUCUACUGGUGUGUUUACACAACAUUCAAUGAUGCCACGUUUGAAAAUGAUAUCAACCAAGGAAAUGGCUCCACUCUGGUCGUGGUGAAUGACGAUGUCCUACAGCUGCCAUGUCCUACAGCUACUGCAGUAACGCCCUUUCACCCAGCCAAUGAGAAGCAGUGCCCAUCUGGCGUGGUAAACAUCAUCAUCAUCAUCAUCAUCAUCAUCACCAGCCUCUUGACCAUCCUGAUGUGUGCUGUCAUCUUCCUCAUCUGGCUCCCUCCACAGGUGAAGAGGUGCUGUAAACAGGGAGGAUCCACACCCCAGGUCAUUCCUGAGAGUGUCUAUGAAGACAUGGCCAGGAAUCACACUUCUCCACCUGACACACAGGUAGAAUCGUACCUCUAUUCUGUGUCUUCCAAAGGAGGAAGUAGGACCACUGAGUAGCUUCUUCAAAUGCUUUUUCUGAAUAUUGCUUCUUUACUUUCUCAGAAUUGAAAAGCCUGUUCUGCUGUAUUUCACAGUUCUAACCUCAAUGCAAGUCUUAGUGGUAAAUUGUUUGUGUGUGUCGCACCAUAACAUGCUUAUGUGUGUGAAUAAAAUCUCUAUAUGGAAAGUAUUCGUAUUUCAACAGAAGACCAGCGGGAAGAAGGGAACAGCCAAUGUUAUAUUCCAGGGCUAUUCAACUAUAUUCUUACGAGGGCCAGAUGUAAAAAAAAAAAAAAAAGGUUCAUUUCAGGGGGGGGUGGACAUUUUCCACAUGCGACGCACACACACCAAUAAAGCACUUUUCUUCAAAUGAAAUGUUGCUAAAAGUAGUUAGGGAAGAAGUGAAAAGUGCUCGAUCAACGUGAGUUGAGGUGCAACCAAACAAUGUGCUCCUCGUUGAAAAGGAAAAGGCUCAAUGCUUGCUCACCAUUUUAACGAUUCAAAGAUUGGUGAUUUGAAAAUCAUCUGAAAGCUAAGCAUCUCAAUAAAUAACAGAUAACAACCAUAGUGCUUUUCAUUUUGGCACUGAACGUUGGGUUUUGGUGCAGAUCUUUUAUGAAUGUUCAGAAUUGAUCAAAGGGCCAGUCUAAAUGAAUAAACUGGCCAGAUCUGGCCCGUGGGCCGCCAGUUGAAUAUCCCUGUUUUAGUCCAUAAGGUGAACAGUUGAUAGCGAUGGAGGCCUACCUAUACCUUUUUUCAAUACAUCAGGUCAUAAGAUUUAUAUUGGUUUUUAGUUCUAAACAAUAGUGUAGGCUGUGUUUUUCUGUAGUGUUUUUAGGUCACUGGACCACUCUGGAAGCUGUUCCAGUGCAUGGGGUCUGCCACACAGUCAGAAGAGCUUCAACGUUAAAAUGAGAACAGUUUGUUAAGACUUGUAUUAUAUUUCAUCACAGGUAGAAAUAUUUUAGCUGCCUAAACUUCAUCAGGUACAUCAGGAUAUUACAUUCCAUUUGAUUAUUCUAUGAUUUUAGUUGAGAUAGCUAGAAGGUUAAAACCAUAAUGGUCUGAGUACAUUGUUGAUGCUGUUACGGAGUAAUGAGUGUGUCUUGUGGUUGAAAAUAGAAUCAUUAAUUUUUACCAAGUGACGUAGUAAUUGUCUCACACUAUGAGUCAGUUUUUUACUUAUGUUUCAACUUCAUAACAGCUAUUUUCACUUUAAAAUAGAUGUAAAUGGGUAUUGUAUCUUUUUAAAGGUAGAAAAUAUUCUCACCAUUUGCCUUUUAAUCAAAGUACUGAUAUAUUCAUGUGUAAUUUAACUUGUGUAUUCAUGUUUAUGUUGUAUUUGUGUAUGUGGUACGCAUUGGUGAUGUUCAGCUAUAUUUCUUACAUUAUAUUGUAUGUUUUGGAAAGCUUUCUAUCUAAACCAAGUGAAGACAAGUUCAGACAGGAAACCAGAGUAUUUGCAUCAGCUGAUAUUGCACCAAUUAGAUUCACUCUACUGCUUUCCGACCACCCACCCCAGAUUCCACCUGCCUUGUUCACUGUUUAUUAUUAUUAUGUUAUCAUUAUGCAUGCUCUGGCAGUGAGCUACCCCAAAGGAGCAGAGCCUAACGCCAAGAGUAAUGUAUUGAAUGCAUUUGAAUACUUUCUAAUAAAUGUCCAAUUUAUAUGUCAAUAUACAUGAGCAGCAUCAUUAAGUUGUUUUUUCAACAUACUGUAUUCUACAAUCAUAUCCAAAAUCAUAACCAUAAGUCAAGUACUCCAUUAAUGUCACACUGACACAUAUCUUGUAAGCCAGACCUCCGUGUGCUGCUGGUGACAGGUGGUUUCUGAUGUGGUGGCAGCAGACAGAUGAGAAACUAUACCCAACACCUCAGGGGAACAUGGAUGCUUCUCUGUUACACGUCACUCAUUUUCAGAAACCCACCACAGUGAGUGAAUAACUCAACACCAACCACACAGAGCAAACCCUGCAUGGCAUACGGAUACGGAGCGCAGGCUGUAUCCCCACUCUCACAAACUCUACUAGUUAUUUAUUUCAGAGAGACACAUUGAGAGAGAAGUGUGUCUUAAAAGUCAAUCUUUUUCUGAACGUAUAAAUGUUAUUCUUAAUCAGAAGACUUAAGGUCGAGGUGGUUUUGUGUCUUCUACUAUGGGUUGGUCAAAACAAGCAUUGUUAAUCCAAGAUGGCGUAGCAGUGCGAACGUGUUUGUCGUUGUCCCAUGUAAAUUAGUUUUUUUUCAUAAUU
ensembl:lncRNA